GACCAGACUUGGGCUCGGUGAAUCAUCCGGCGUUCUCGCCGGUGCACUUUGCCGUCCCAGGCCAGCAUCAGUUCGCGCCGGGGGAUAAAGGUUUCGGGAAUGUAGCUCCUUCGGGAGUGUUAUAGCCCGUUGCGUAAUACCCUGGCGUGGACUGAGGUCCGCGCUCUGCAAGGAUGCUGGCGUAAUGGUCAUCAGUGACCCGUCUUGA
rnacentral:rRNA from 1 species